rnacentral:rRNA from 1 species
UAGGUAGGGUGCGAGCGUUAAUCGGAAUUACUGGGCGUAAAGCGUGCGCAGGCGGUUCGUUAAGUCAGCUGUGAAAGCCCCGAGCUUAACUUGGGAAUUGCGGUUGAAACUGGCGGACUAGAAUCUGGCAGAGGGGGGUGGAAUUCCACGUGUAGCAGUGAAAUGCGUAGAGAUGUGGAGGAACACCGAUGGCGAAGGCAGCCCCCUGGGCUGAGAUUGACGCUCAGGCACGAAAGCGUGGGGAGCAAACAGG